rnacentral:misc_RNA from 1 species
GGAAGUAAAAGUCGAACAAGGUUUCCGUAGGUGAACCUGCGGAAGGAUCAUUACUGAGUGAGGGCCCCUCGGGGUCCAACCUCCCACCCGUGUUUAACGAACCUUGUUGCUUCGGCGGGCCCGCCUCACGGCCGCCGGGGGGCAUCUGCCCCCGGGCCCGCGCCCGCCGAAGCCACCUGUGAACGCUGUCUGAAGUAUGCAGUCUGAGACAAUUAUUAAAUUAAUUAAAACUUUCAACAACGGAUCUCUUGGUUCCG